UACGUAGGGUGCGAGCGUUGUCCGGAAUUAUUGGGCGUAAAGAGCUCGUAGGCGGUUUGUUGCGUCGGCUGUGAAAUCCCGAGGCUCAACCUCGGGUCUGCAGUCGAUACGAGCAAACUAGAGUGUUGCAGGGGAGACUGGAAUUCCUGGUGUAGCGGUGAAAUGCGCAGAUAUCAGGAGGAACACCGGUGGCGAAGGCGGGUCUCUGGGCAACAACUGACGCUGAGGAGCGAAAGCGUGGGGAGCGAAACAGG
rnacentral:rRNA from 1 species